GUCACGCUGUAAACGAUGUCGAUUUGGAGGUUGUUCCCUUGAGGAGUGGCUUCCGGAGCUAACGCGUUAAAUCGACCGCUGGGGAGUACGGCCGCAAGGUUAAAACUCAAAUGAAUUGACGGGGGCCCGCACAAGCGGUGGAGCAUGUGGUUUAAUUCGAUGCAACGCGAAGAACCUUACCUACUCUUGACAUCCAGAGAAUUUAGCAGAGAUGCUUUAGUGCCUUCGGGAACUCUGAGACAGGUGCUGCAUGGCUGUCGUCAGCUCGUGUUGUGAAAUGUUGGGUUAAGUCCCGCAACGAGCGCAACCCUUAUCCUUUGUUGCCAGCACAUUAUGGUGGGAACUCAAAGGAGACUGCCGGUGAUAAACCGGAGGAAGGUGGGGAUGACGUCAAGUCAUCAUGGCCCUUACGAGUAGGGCUACACACGUGCUACAAUGGCGUAUACAAAGAGAAGCGACCUCGCGAGAGCAAGCGGAACUCAUAAAGUACGUCGUAGUCCGGAUUGGAGUCUGCAACUCGACUCCAUGAAGUCGGGAUCGCUAGUAAUCGUAGAUCAGAAUGCUACGGUGAAUACGUUCCCGGGCCUUGUACACACCGCCCGUCACACCAUGGGAGUGGGUUGCAAAAGAAGUAGGUAGCUUAACCUUCGGGAGGGCGCUUACCACUUUGUGAUUCAUGACUGGGGUGAAGUCGUAACAAGGUAACCA
rnacentral:rRNA from 1 species